GUUCUCCUCCCCUGCACUGUGGAGCUACUAUAGAGCUGGUAGCAGACCUUUGGGACGAUGUAAUCAAUGCUUUAAUAGAGGAAUAUAUACUUUGGUAACACCGAGGAAUGACUAGAAGGUGGGUAGAGCAGAACCUGGCCGGAAAAAAAGACAUUAGAACUGUGCCUUGAAAGAUUCAUUCCAGCUUCCAAAUCUCCCUUUCCUCCACCCCCAUUCCCAAGCCAGAGCGGACAGCUCUGGAAGCCUGGGACCAGCCCCGCGGCCCGCACGUGGUGGCUCCAUGACCGCCAAAUCCCCCUGCGGAGCCCCGGCGCGCCCGUCCCAGCGGAGAGAGAGUCCAACGCCGGCAGCUCCUGGAACGUGGUCGGAAAGAAGCCGGCGGGCUGGGGUGAAUUAGAAAGCGAACGGCGCACGGUGUGUGGGGAGAGCCCGCCGGCCACAUAGAGCAGCUUAAAAGCAAAGACAUAAAUCCCUUUACGGUUUCCUCCUUCCCAGAGAAAAGAAAGAAAACCGGCC